GAUGAACGCUAGCUCCAGGCUUAACACAUGCAAGUCGAGGGGCAGCAUAGUCUUAGCUUGCUAAGGCCGAUGGCGACCGGCGCACGGGUGAGUAACACGUAUCCAACCUGCCGUCUACUCUUGGACAGCCUUCUGAAAGGAAGAUUAAUACAAGAUGGCAUCAUGAGUCCGCAUGUUCACAUGAUUAAAGGUAUUCCGGUAGACGAUGGGGAUGCGUUCCAUUAGAUAGUAGGCGGGGUAACGGCCCACCUAGUCUUCGAUGGAUAGGGGUUCUGAGAGGAAGGUCCCCCACAUUGGAACUGGGACACGGUCCAAACUCCUACGGGAGGCAGCAGUGAGGAAUAUUGGUCAAUGGGCGAGAGCCUGAACCAGCCAAGUAGCGUGAAGGAUGACUGCCCUAUGGGUUGUAAACUUCUUUUAUAAAGGAAUAAAGUCGGGUAUGGAUACCCGUUUGCAUGUACUUUAUGAAUAAGGAUCGGCUAACUCCGUG
rnacentral:rRNA from 1 species